rnacentral:rRNA from 1 species
UAUCCUACGGGGCGCAGCAGUGGGGAAUAUUGGGCAAUGGGCGCAAGCCUGACCCAGCAACGCCGCGUGAAGGAAGAAGGCUUUCGGGUUGUAAACUUCUUUUAUGAGGGACGAAACAAAUGACGGUACCUCAUGAAUAAGCCACGGCUAACUACGUGCCAGCAGCCGCGGUAAUACGUAGGUGGCAAGCGUUAUCCGGAUUUACUGGGUGUAAAGGGCGUGUAGGCGGGACUGCA